UACGUAGGGCGCAAGCGUUGUCCGGAAUUAUUGGGCGUAAAGGGCGCGUAGGCGGUGCGGUAAGUCACCUGUGAAAUCUCCUGGCUCAACUGGGAGCUUGCAGGCGAAACUGCCGUGCUGGAGUGUGGGAGAGGUGCGUGGAAUUCCUGGUGUAGCGGUGAAAUGCGUAGAUAUCAGGAGGAACACCUGUGGCGAAAGCGGCGCACUGGACCACAACUGACGCUGAGGCGCGAAAGCUAGGGGAGCAAACAGG
rnacentral:rRNA from 1 species